GGGGAUACAAGAUAUGAGAGAUACAAUGUAAUGAUAACCAGAAGAGUCAAUAUGCCUUUAACCGUUAAAAACAAUUAAGCAUAAUGAAGAAAAUUGCACAACAUCACCCUUCGUGCUUUUACUCUUGUUGGCCCAAGAAUAGGUGAAGUUUUGAAGAAUGACAAAUGAACUCAGCCAUGGACCAGGUCCAUCAUGUGAAGCACAACCAUGAUCAACCUACAUAUGUGAGAUGCACAUGAAGGAGAUAAAUCCUAUUGAUCAAGCAAAAAUAUCUUCUGAUCUGAUCGAAAAGGUUGCAUAUUGGAUACGGUUAGAAGAUCUCCUUAUAUGAAGAGAACACAAUCCAGAUAAAGAUAGUAUUGGAGUUUGAGAUCUCCAAGGACUCAACUAUGAUAGAAGAUCAGCAAUUGAGUCCUAAUCAAACUUUGACGACUAACCUAUAUAAAUGAUAGUGAUCGUUCUCUUUUACAGGUGUUGCACAUUCGCAGAAGUUAAACUAAAUUGUGAGCAAAAAAGCAAGGCGAUUUUGCAAGCAAUUUAUGUAAUAUUUGAGUGUGCGCUAUUGAAUCUAGAAGCUGCCGCAUCGGUUGAGGCUGUGUGCUACAACAGUAUUACAGUUAAUCCUUAGGUUUACAAAGAGUUUUGUAAAUGCUGUUUUUGCCUAGUGAUUUUAGUGAAAGUUUGAAAAAAUCCUACCGAGUAGUAGGUCGUGGAUUUUUACUUUUUGAGCAAGGUGUUUUCUACGUAAAAAUCUUUGUGUGUUCUUUAUUUUAUGUACUUAUUAUUCUGCGAACAAUAGUGUUAGUACACCUAGAAUAACCAGAUUCUUCUAGAGCGAAAAUUGGGUACCAUAAAAGUUACCCCCCCUCUUGUGUGGUAUUGAAGUGAAGAACAUCAGUUGGUAUUAGAGCAGGUUAUCCUUGAAGAAGCUAACACCUUAGGAAAAGAUCAACAUGAGUGCACCACCUGGGAACUGGGAAGGGCAAUCCACNNNNNNNNNNNNNNNNNNNNNNNNNNNNNNNNNNNNNNNNNNNNNNNNNAUGAGUGCACCACCUGGGAACUGGGACGGGCAAUCCACUGCUAGGCAUCCACUCUUUAAUGGUUAGUACUAUUCUUGGUGGAAGAACAUGAUGUGGGAUCACAUAAUAGGUGAAGACUAUGGGAAAUAAUCACUUAUGGUCCUCUAGAAACUAUUAAGAAGAAUGAUGAAGGAGUGGAUGUGCCAAAGAUAAAAGCUGACUGCACUGCAGAAGACCUGAAAAAGUGGGAGGAAAAUUCCACAGCCAAGAAAUGGUUUGUGUGUAGAUUAGGUCCAGAUAAGUACAGUAGAAUUCAAAGCUAUACCACUGCUAAGGAAAUCUGGGACACUUUUUAAGUGGCUCAUGAAGGAAUACCUCAAAUGAAAAGGUCCAGAGGAACACUGCUGUAUUCUCAAUAUGAAUAUUUCACCAUGAAGGAAGGAAAAACUAUCAAAGAGAUGUAUACAAAUUUCACCACACUAACAAAUGAACUUAAGCCUCUUGGAAGGAUUAUUCUUGAAGAAGACAAAGUUGAGAAGAUUUUGACAAGGGUUCUGUCAGUCUCUUGGGAAAGCAAAAUUACUUCUAUUCAAGAAUCAAAGAAUAUUGCUACCCUCAGGCUGGAUGAACUAGUUGGAAACCUUACUGCCUAUGAAUUGAGAAGGCAAACCAUAAAAAUGGAUGCGCCCAAGAAGGAAAGAAGUCUGACUCUAAGAAUUGCUGAAGGUUCAGAUCUGGAGGAUGAUGAAAUGGCUAUGAUCACAAGAGAUUUCAAAAAGUACCUAAUGAGAGGAAAGGGUUCUUCAAGAGGUACAACCUUCAACAAACAAGGGCUCCUGAGAGACAGACCAAUGAGGGUUGAUACAAAUGUGGUAAGACUAAUCACAUGAUCAAGAAUUUCCUCAAUGAGAAAUUGAGUGGAAGAAGGAAAGGGCUGAACGAAGGAACAGGUUCACCAAGAAGGAACAAAGGCUAUGGUUGCUGUCUGGGGGGAAACAUCAGAUGAGGAAUCAGAAGGUAAAGCUGGAGAUGAACAAGCAAUUAAGUCCAUCGGAGAAUCAGAUGAUGAACAAGAGGUAAGUAUUCUUCAUCUCAAAGACAAGAUUAAAUUCCUGUCCAAAGAAAGGUUGUCUGAGCUACUGCUAGACUUCAUUGAUGAGUCUGAGAUAAUUAACAAAGAGAAGAAAGAUCUGUCAAGGGAAUGUGUUAUCCUAAAAUCCAAGGGCAAAAAUCUAGAGUCUAGGAAUAAUUAGAGUGAAAGCAAUAAUGCUGAGUUGAAGAACCAGGUUCUUGAACUUGAUACUAGUCCUAGAACUUUGGUCUGAGAACUUAAAACCGAAACUAGGAACAGGAAAGAAGAAAAAUGAUCACACAUAUCUCACCCUAGAAGAAAACUUAGGAAAAAUGAAAUAUGAGUUGUACAACAAGGAUGAGCAGAUAAGAGUAUUAAAAGAAGGGCUAGGGAAGGUAAAAGAUAAACUAGAGAGAACCUGCAAAUGGAACAAGGCUUAUGAUGCACUCUCCUGGCUAUAAGAACAUCACAAUAGCAAUAAAAGAGGACUUGGCUAUAGGACUCAAGCACCUAAGUUGGAUCCUAAAAGAAAGUACCUCACUCUUCCUAAGAACAAAAUCUGCACACACUGUGGCAAGACUGACCAUUACAAAAAUAAACGUAAUGCAAAAAAAAAGACCAGUCAAAAGAACAAAGCUUUUGUUCAAGAAAAUAUUAGGCUGCCUGGGUGGAGUAGAAGGAAUCUGGUUUAUCCCUUUGCCUAUAGAAAGGGACCAUAAUAGUUUAGCUUCCUAGGACUAACCCCUGAUUUCUUUUUGUAGGUCCAAAUGAAGGGACGUAGCCAAAUAUGGUACAUGGAUAGUGGAUGCUCGAAACAUAUAACUGCAAGCAAGAACCAGUUCCUUUCACUUGAGGACUUAAAGGGAGGUAAUGACUCAUUUGGAAAUGGGAAGAAAGGUGAGAUUAUUGGUGUUGGAAAGGUAGGUAAAAUAGACUCUCACUCCAUUGAGAAUAUCUACCUGAUAGAUGGCUUGAAAUACAGCCUUAUCAGUGUGUUACAACUGUGUGACAAAGGUAAUCUUGUAGCAUUCACCUCUACUAAAUGCUUUGUGAUUAACCUUACCACUGACAAAAUUGUUUUGCAGGGAAAAAGAGUUAAUAAUAUUUACAUUGUAGAUUUGUAUACUCUCUCUGAAAAAGAACUAAGCUGCCUAAGUGUGUUGGAUAAUGAUCCCCUCUUGUGGCACAAAAGACUUGGUCAUGCCAGUCUAAAUCAGCUCAACAAAUUAGUCUCUAAGGACUUGGUGAUUGGAUUACCUAACAUCAAGUUCAAGAAAUACAAAGUUUGUGAGGCCUGUUCAAGGGGGGAAGUAGGUAAGGACAUCCUUCAAAACCAAAAAAAUGGUACGCAAUCCCAAGUCAUUAGAACCGGUCCAUAUGAAUCUCUAUGGUCCGAUGAGAACCAUGAGCAGAGAUGGAAAGAAAUAUGUACUGGUUCUAGUUGAUGAUUAUUCUAGAUUUACCUUGGUACUAUUUCUAACAUCUAAAUUUGAAGCCUUUGACAUGUUUACUACCUUUGUUAGAAAAACCAAGAAACAAUUAGGAAUUCAACUUGCAUUUAUUAGGUUUGAUCAUGGAACUGAAUUUGAAAAUGCUAAGUUUGCUGAAUUCUAUGAUGAAAAUGGUAUAGAUCAUUAUUUUUCUACCCCUAGUACUACUCAAAAAAAUGGAGUAGUUGAAAGAAAGAACAGGACUCUUGAAAACAUGGCUAGGACUAUGCUUCUUUCUAGUAAAUUGCCCCAUAUCUUGUAGGCAAAGGCUGUAAACACUGCAUGUUACAUUAUCAAUAGAUGCAUGAUUGGACUCUCAUAGAGAAGACUCCCUAUGAGUUACUUAAAUGGAGAAAACCAAACAUAUCCCAUCUUAGGGCAUUUUAGUAGAAAGAAAUAAUAGGACUCUUGAAGAUAUGGCUAGGACUAUGCUUCUUUCUAGUAAAUGUCCUUACAGUUUCUUGCCAGAAGCUAUAAACACUGCAUGUUACAUCAUCAAUAGGUGUAUGACUAGACCUCUUGUAGAGAAGACUCACUAUGAGUUACUUAAAGAGAGAAAGCCAAAUAUGUCCCAUCUUAGGGCAUUUGGAUGUAAGUUCUUUGUGCACAAUAAUGGAAAAGACUCCCUAGGUAAGUUUGAUCCCAGAAGUGAUGAGGGAGUAUUCUUAGAAUAUUCUUCACAUAGCAAAGCAUAUAAAGUGUUUAUUAAAAGAACGUUGUGUGUAAAAAAAAGUGUGCAUGUAUUAUUUGAUAAAACCAAUAUUCUUUCUGAGAGAUAUGAACAUGAAAAUGAAGCCAUUAGAUUGGUAAAGGAUUUGACUGAAGCCUCAGCACAAGUCAAAGUGGCACCAAUAGAAGGAACAGGUGAUGGAACAAGUUCCUCUAUUCAGGGCAACCUGACAGGGGGAACAAAUCAAAGAGGGAUUAAAUUAAAUCCUCUAAAACAACCAGUUCAUGACCUUGUUCCUCAUAAACAGAACAUGGGAGAAGCAUCCAGUAGGAACCAGCUGGUUAUGAAACAUCACAAGUAUCAAAGUUCUCAUCCUAUUGAGAACAUUAUCAGUGAUCCAACAUUUGGAGUCAAAACUAGAUCACAACUAAAGAAUCUGUGUGCUUUUGAUUUCUUUUUAUUUUUUGUUGAACCUAAAAAUGUUGUUGAGGAUUUGCAGGAUGCUGAUUAGGUCAAUGCAAUGCAAGAUGAACUCAAUGAGUCUGAGAGAGGUCAAGUUUGGUAUCUAGUUCCAAGACCCAACGAUAGAUCAGUUAUUGGUACAAAAUGGGUCUUUAGGAACAUGCUUGAUGAAUGUGGGAUAGUUACAAGAAACAAGGCAAGACUGGUGGUCCAAGGCUACAACCAAGAGGAGGUCAUAGAUUAUGAUGAGACUUUUGCUCUAGUUGCAAGACUACAGGCAGUUAGACUCCUCAUAAGCCUUUGCAGCACACAUGGAAUUCACUCUUCAUCAGAUAGAUGUCAAAAGUGCCUUCCUAAAUGGCUACCUGAAAGAAGAAGUGUUUGUGAAAUAACCUCCAGGGUUUAAGAGCAAGGAAUGUUCUGAGCAUGUGUACAAAUUAGACAAGGCUCUCUAUGGACUCAAGCAGGAUCCAAGAGCACGGUAUGAACGAUUGUCCAAAUUUCUACUUGAACAUGGCUACAAAAGAGGUAAAAUUGACAGUACCUUAUUCCUAAGGGAAAAAGGUAAGGAUCUCCUUUUGGUAGAAAUAUAUGUUGAUCACAUAAUCUUUGGGGCAACACUGAUAAGCUAAGUAAAGACUUUGCAAAACUAACAGGGAGUAAGUUUGAAAUGAGUAUAAUGGGUGAGCUUAACUUCUUCUUAGGCUUACAGAUCAAACAAAGUGUCACACUUCCUUCUUCAUUACUACAUCCCGGAAAAUGUAUAAUAAAGGAAGUUUUUUCCAAUUUAAGUGACAAUCGAAACGUGAUUAAUUAUUAAAAACCAGAGUCGCCACUUGGGAUAAUUUAUGGUGUCCCAAGCCACCGAUUUAAAAUCCCGAGUCGAGGAAAGAAUGACUCUAUUAUUAUAGUCUGCGACUAAAAAAUCCGGGUAAGGAAUUCUGUUAACCCGGGAGAAGGUGUUAGGCACUCCCGAAUUUCGUGAUUCUAGCACGGUCACUUUGAUAAUACUUGGCUUAUUAAAAUGAUUGAAUUACUGAUUUUUAAAUCUAUGUGCUUUUGCUUCUUUUACCAUUUUUAAUUAGAAAAUUAUCUUGAAACGAGUUACGCGUACGUAUGCCCGCUUGUUUGGCGUGUCAAAAAUCAUGUCACGUGAACGUGUCCAUAAUUAAUAACGCUUAAUUAGUUUUAAGAAAAAUUUUUGGCCGAAGUUGCGCGAACGCAUGCUCCAGUUUUGUUUUUAUAAGUGUAAUUAUGUUAUGCAGACAUAUACGCAAUCACACUAGUAUUUUAAACGGCCCUAAUGGAUGUUCUAUGAAAUAUUAUAUUUUUUCUUAACCUAAGAAAUUACUAAAAGACCAUAUAUGACUUAAUGAACUUGCGUAAAAUAAAAUUAUUAAAACUUGUCACCUACUUUAUCUUUAAGAAAAGAUUGGUCGAAGUUGCACGAACGCAUACUCCAGAUUAAUUUAGAAUCGUGGUCGUAUUACGUGAACGCAUACGCAAUCACAAAUGUAUUUUAAACGGCCCUGAAGGCUUUUCUACAACUACUAAUUGUUACAUCUUUAUCACGCCAUGCAGACAUGGAUAUGAUAAUAACAUUUUUUGAUUCAAAUAAAAUAACAGACAAGCAGGAUGCAUAUCAUAAUAGCAUUGUGCGACAACAACAGUAUCCUUUACUGGCUUUGUAAUUUCGCUAAUUACAACAUGCUCCCAUGACUUCAAUCGGCCAUUUGUUUUUUUUACAGAAUAUAUCAGCACUUAUGAUUUACAAUGCAAGAAAGAGUGAUAUUACAGUAAUACUUCAUGAAAAUUUAAAGUUUUCUCUAAAACUAAAUCAUGAUGAACAACGAUAAAUUCAAACCUUAACUAUUCAUGGAAUUGACUUUCAUAACUACUGAAAAUAACUAAAUUAUCUGGAGAGAAAAACCAACCUAGAGCGAAAAACUAUUAUUGUUCAUGGAUUAAAAGGGAACAAACGUGUUCUUGCUGAAGCUUCAAACCAACAAAAUUAACAAGAGAUGGAAAACUAGUUUAUGCUAGGAAUGAAACAGAUGGCUAAGUCCAAUGAGUGAAAUCACCUAAAGAUCUAAAUCUACAAACCUAACUUCGACAUUUCUUAAAAGCAAACUUAUCUAGAUCCAAGAAAACUAAGAUUCAAGGAAUAAAACAAGAGGUAAAAAAACAAGUACGUCAAACAUAGUUAAAGCAAAAACUCGAACACUCACUUGGAAGAUUUAAGCCUACCCAAUGCUAAAACUUCUAACAAAUAUCUAAAACAACAAUCCCAAAUCAGCAUGAUUUCUAACAGUUUCAACAGUCCCUCUCAGAUUUAUAUUAUAAAUGACAUAAUCAGAUGAUUUUAUCUUAGCUGAACCAAAUGUCUAAUAUGUACAUAUACAACACAAAAAAAACUAAAAUAGCAGAACCAGUAAACAGAAAACUAAGCAUAUGCUUUCAUUCCAUCGUCAAACCAAGUUUACAUCUUGAGAGAUUAGGAUUUGUACCUGGAAGUUGAGAUAGAAACAAGGAUAAGGAGACAAUUAACACAAAGGUGAUCUAUAGAAGUAUAACAUAGCCAAUGACACCAACAGUAAAUCCCAGCUUCAAAUCUCAACAAUAACAGCCGAUAUACAGAUCAGAUUAGACUCAAAUAUACCCUUUCAACCGGAAUUUAAACCCAAAAACCCUUUCAAAUCACCAUGAAGGAACUCAAUGUAACAGUAUUUGAGUUUUUUGGUUUUGACUCCAUUGUUUUAAUUUUUUAUGGAUUCUGAAUCUCUCUCUUUUUUUUUGUAUUCCCAGAUUUCCAAGUCAAAAAGUUUAGCCUCAAAAUUCAAUGUAAAAGUAGUUUUUGUUUUUGUGUGUUUUCUGUAUUUUUUAACUAAUCUCUCUUGCCUUGGAUGGCAAGAC
rnacentral:lncRNA from 1 species